GUACACGAUAUACCAUCCAACGACAGUCGUCUGCUAGGCGUACUUCGUGGAAAACGUUGGUUAGGCUCCUCCCCUUUGGGGGCGGAGCAAGCCAUUCCACGAUCGUUUUCCACGAUAUACCAGUACAUGGUACACGGUACGCGUACACGAUAUACCGCGGCCCUAAAUGACACCGUUUAACUGUGAUUUCUCGAAAAACAAGCUGUCAGUGCUACCCAGUGAAAUAACAUGAUAUGAAGCUUCGGAGAAGCUUAAUCUGUACCACAAUGUAAUCCAUUUCAUUCCAGAUACUGUCACGUUCCUGCAAUGUCUCAUAUAUUUAGAUAUCAGCCAUAAUCGUAACGGUCGGAAGGAACGGCUUUUGCUUUAUAGAAAUUGGGAAAACACUCCGAACCACACAACGAUUUCAGAUCCUCCUCUUAACCCCAUCCUUCAUCAUUCGCUGUGAUCAAUGUAGUCGUCCUCUGAGUUUGAAUCUCAGUCACAAAGAGUAUCACAAAGUGAAUGUCAAAGCUGUUCAGAAAGAAGCUGUCCUUCCCUAAUUCAUGGCCAAAACUAAUCCGUCGUCAGUAACUCAGCCACUGCCCUUCCGCUCACUAACGCAUAAUUGCUCAGUCCUACACUAUCCUGUCGUUCGGUACCCAUAGUUCCCAGACCUACAGCUGAUUCAAACAAGCUGGUGCCCCCCUACCGCCCACCUCCGGUCAAAUCGCUUACCGGAAGUCGUAAGGUAGCUGCUGUCAAAGCCGAGCCUUCUAUACAUAGUCGAUAAAAUUCUUUAACGAAUUCUGUUUGAUAUAAUUACCUAAGAAUUCCAUUAAUUGAAGUGUAGAGAGAUGAGGCUCAAAAUGACCAAACUUGAUGAUUUUAUCCACAGCAAUCAAACUACCCCGCCAUUCAUUCACUCCUCUCAAACGGCCGAGAAGAAUUUGAACACAUUCAAAAUUUGCGCCAAUUUACAGAUAAAAAAAUGGCAAGCGAAGCGAGGGGUCGCAUUUUCAACUUGGCAACCCACCGACGGUUCAGCCCACGCAGCCCCACAUAAAUCUCGCAGGCCGACACCCAAUGACGUUUUUAUGAUUUGUGCUUGCGCCACCAGGGGCGCUGGGAUCAAUUUCAACUGUGACAAAUGAAGCAGCAGACUACUCCACACACGCCAAGGCAACACACCACAAGCAGAAGGGGUGGAGGGGCUAUAGAGUUGGCUAACGUCCGAAGUUGCCAGUUCGAUGAAAUUU